rnacentral:autocatalytically_spliced_intron from 1 species
CAAGGGACUUGAAUAAUUUGAGCCUUCGGGGGGAAACGUCCGAAGUGAAGCCCGUCAAAUUCGGCGAAAGCCCUGGAUGCUUCGGCAACCGAGCCAACGCCGAGCCAAGCCCGAGCAAUCGCUUGGGAAGGUGUAGAGAGCAGACGGCGGGCACCUACGG